rnacentral:snRNA from 1 species
GAAUGUGAAAGCAAUCUGGGUGUGACAUUUGUCACCUCAUUGAUCGCCAGGGUUGAUUCAGCUGAUCUGGCUGGCUAGGUGGUGUCUCCUUCCUCGCUGCUCCAUGUGUGUCCCUCCCCAAGCUGAGCACUGGGUCAAAGAGGAUGACCAUCUAUGAUAAAUGAGGACCAUUCUUUGGUUAAGUGUAUACAAGUAGCUGUGCUCCCCUCUAGACCCUCCAAUCCAGCUCUCAAUAAAUCAAUAUGCUAUGUCCAGAAGAAAUUUGAAGGAAUGCAGGGCACGUGAAACAAUUCACCUUGGGUUGGAUGCUAUUU